UCUUUUAAUAAAAUAAUCCCAAAACCCCAAUUCCCCUACUCAUAUUUUCUUCCCAACACAGCCGCAUAAAAACGAGCCCUAGCUCGACGAUGAUUGAUGAGGCUUCGUUAGAAGAGAUUGAUCGACGAAUCCUUAGCUAUCAUUCGCUCCAACAAGGGUUCAAUUCUAAUGUCAUCAAACAUUAUUAUACCAACAAUCUUCAACAACUAAACAUGAGCAUAAUAAGACAUUGGGGAAUGGAAGUGCAAGAGUCUUGGUACAAUAUAAGGGAAUGCAAGUCCAAGAGUUGUCUGUAGCAGGGACAACAAGGUUCUUAAGAAAUGAGAUCGGUCAAGAAGGAGCUUGAGGCAUGCCAUGAAAGUUUUUUGAUUGUAUAUAUAUUAGUACAAUGCCACUGAAGUAUUAUGUCGUAAAUAUGUCAUUGACAUUUUAGUAGUGGAAGUAUUUAUAAUAUUUGGUCGGAGAAUGAUUUUAUAGUUUAAAUACUAUUUGAUGUUUUUAAAGUUA